CUGUAGACUAUUGUUUUAGGCUGAGUUCCUUAGAUACAAAUUUUGAGGUGGAGAGUUGCGUGCAGUUUAUUGGAGAGUGACCUCUGUGAAGAAGUGAGGACCUUCAGACUAAGACCCUGAAGAAGCUGACCCCAUCACAUGUAGCUGCUGGGUGUAACACAGGAAGAGAGUCGGAUUUAACUGGAUCUGGAGUUUGGCCCUAAAGUACAGCGAAGGGAGAGAGAGGUUUUAGUGCACCAGCUUUCAAUCACAAAGGAGAAAGGGUGACCUUUGCACUGGAGAAAUCUAGCAGAUGUCAUCUCAGCCAAAUGACC